UCCUACGGGAGGCAGCAGUAGGGAAUCUUCCGCAAUGGACGAAAGUCUGACGGAGCAACGCCGCGUGAGUGAUGAAGGCUUUCGGGUCGUAAAACUCUGUUGUUAGGGAAGAACAAGUGCUAGUUGAAUAAGCUGGCACCUUGACGGUACCUAACCAGAAAGCCACGGCUAACUCCGUGCCAGCAGCCGCGGUAAUACGUAGGUGGCAAGCGUUAUCCGGAAUUAUUGGGCGUAAAGCGCGCGCAGGUGGUUUCUUAAGUCUGAUGUGAAAGCCCACGGCUCAACCGUGGAGGGUCAUUGGAAACUGGGAGACUUGAGUGCAGAAGAGGAAAGUGGAAUUCCAUGCGUAGCGGUGAAAUGCGUAGAGAUAUGGAGGAACACCAGUGGCGAAGGCGACUCUCUGGUCUGUAACUGACGCUGAGGAGCGAAAGCGUGGGGAGCGAACAGGAUUAGAUACCCUGGUAGUCCACGCCGUAAACGAUGAGUGCUAAGUGUUAGAGGGUUUCCGCCCUUUAGUGCUGAAGUUAACGCAUUAAGCACUCCGCCUGGGGAGUACGGCCGCAAGGCUGAAACUCAAAGGAAUUGACGGA
rnacentral:rRNA from 1 species